AGUGAACGCUGGCGGUAGGCCUAACACAUGCAAGUCGAACGGCAGCACAGUAAGAGCUUGCUCUUACGGGUGUCGAGUGGCGGACGGGUGAGGAAUACAUCGGAAUCUACUUUUUCGUGGGUGAUAACGUAGGGAAACUUACGCUAAUACCGCAUACGACCUACGGGUGAAAGCAGGGGAUCUUCUGACCUUGCGCGAUUGAAUGAGCCGAUGUCGGAUUAGCUAGUUGGCGGGGUAAAGGCCCACCAAGGCGACGAUCCGUAGCUGGUCUGAGAGGAUGAUCAGACACACUGGAACUGAGAAACGGUACAGACUCCUAGGGUAGGAAGCAGUGGGGACUAUUGGACAAUGGGCGCAAGCCUGAUACAGCAAUACCGCGUGGGUGAAGAAGGACUUCGGGUUGUAAAGCCAUUAUGUUGGGAAAGAAAAGAAGCAGGUUAAUACCCCGCUGUUAUGACGGUACCCAAAGAAUAAGCACCGGCUAACUUCGUG
rnacentral:rRNA from 1 species